rnacentral:rRNA from 1 species
CCUACGGGAGGCAGCAGUAAGGAAUCUUCCACAAUGGACGAAAGUCUGAUGGAGCAACGCCGCGUGCAGGAUGGAGGCUUUCGGGUCGUAAACUGCUUUUAUAUGGGAAGAUUAUGACGGUACCAUAUGAAUAAGGACCGGCUAACUACGUGCCAGCAGCCGCGGUAAUACGUAGGGUCCAAGCGAUAUCCGGAAUUACUGGGCGUAAAGCGUGUGUAGGUGGAUUAAUAAGUGUGAUGCGAAAUCCGGCGGCUCAACCGUUUGGACUGUGUCGCAUACUGUUAGUCUAGAGGACGGCAGAGGUAAGUGGAAUUACGGGUGUAGCAGUGAAAUGCGUAGAUAUCCGUAGGAACACCAAUGGCGAAGGCAGCUUACUGGGCCACACCUGACACUGAGACACGAAAGCGUGGGGAGCGAACAGGAUUAGAUACCCUGGUAGUCCACGCCGUAAACGAUGCAUACUAUUAGUAUGGGGUAUCGACCCCCUGUGCUGAGAAGCUAACGCGAUAAGUAUGCCGCCUGGGGAGUACGAGCGCAAGCUUAAAACUUAAAUGAAUUGACGG